rnacentral:rRNA from 1 species
AGUCGUGGGGCAGCAUGACUGUAGCAAUACAGUUGAUGGCGACCGGCAAACGGGUUGCGGAACACGUACACAACCUUCCUUUAAGUGGGGAAUAGCCCGGGGAAACCCGGAUUAAUACCCCGUAAUAUAAUGAAGUGGCAUCACUUUAUUAUUAUAGCUCCGGCGCUUGAAGAUGGGUGUGCGACUGAUUAGGCAGUUGGCGGGGUAACGGCCCACCAAACCUACGAUCAGUAACUGGUGUGAGAGCACGACCAGUCACACGGGCACUGAGACACGGGCCCGACUCCUACGGGAGGCAGCAGUAAGGAAUAUUGGUCAAUGGACGCAAGUCUGAACCAGCCAUGCCGCGUGGAGGAUGAAGGUCCUCUGGAUUGUAAACUUCUUUUAUCUGGGAAGAAAUGCAUUUUUUCUAAAGUGCUUGACGGUACCAGGUGAAUAAGCACCGGCUAACUCCGUGCCAGCAGCCGCGGUAAUACGGAGGGUGCAAGCGUUAUCCGGAUUCACUGGGUUUAAAGGGUGCGUAGGGUGGGUUGGUAAGUCAGUGGUGAAAUCUCCAGGCUUAACUUGGAAACUGCCAUUGAUACUAUCAAUCUUGAAUGCCGUGGAGGUCAGCGGAAUAUGUCAUGUAGCGGUGAAAUGCUUAGAUAUGACAUAGAACACCAAUUGCGAAGGCAGCUGGCUACACGAAUAUUGACACUGAUGCACGAAAGCGUGGGGAUCAAACAGGAUUAGAUACCCUGGUAGUCCACGCCCUAAACGAUGGAUACUCGACAUACGCGAUAUACUGUGUGUGUCUGAGCGAAAGCAUUAA